rnacentral:lncRNA from 1 species
CUUUAGUUUAAGUUAAUAGAAAUCUAUGAAAUUUUGACACAAGGUUUAUGACCACAAAAGAACGGUUGGGAUUGAUUUUGGGAGUUUUGGUUUUAACAGUUUAGGAAUUAGGGGCCAAAAAAGGGCCCAAAUAAGCAUUAUUCUUGGUUUUCGCACAAUAACUUUUAGUUUAAGUAAAUAGAAAUCAAUGAAAUUUAAACACAAUGUUAAUGACUACAAAAGGAAGGUUGGUAUUGAUUUUGG